rnacentral:lncRNA from 10 species
GCCCUCCCGCCUGGCUCUCGCCUCGGCCUGCGGCCGGGAUCCUCCGCCCGGGUCGCGCAGCGGAGGCCGAGGGCUGGGACGGGCGGCUGGGAAGUGGGAAAGGGAGCUCCUUUUGUCUUCUCUUCCCAUCCCCCAGGUUUGGGAAAGUUUUCCUUUUGGGAAAGCCCCUCUCUUCAGCCUGCUGGCGGGUGUCGGAUUGGUUAGCGACCACCGGCCCCCGCCUCCCCCAACAGGAUUCUCCUUUGGGCCACAGGUCUUCCGGAAGUUGCCAAACCCCGGUAGCGGCAGCGUCCGGCUGGGGGCUUUAUUAGGGGGCACCGGGGUCUGCUUUCCGACUCCCUUCCGACUCCGCGCCUGCGCAGGAAGCGAUUUGGGGAGUGUUGUGAAUUCCGAGGGCUCCACACUUAAGAGGUUGUACACUCACCUGUCUACCUGGACUCCAAUUUCCAUAUUUCCAGCCACUUGAGGACUGAGAGGUGGAUGAUAAACCCUGUCAUAGUGGAGCAAGUUCAGGUGUUUAACCGCUGUUAUGGGGGAUCUGCCUUUUCUCCCUCUUCUUUCUUACUUCCAUAAGUAUGUAUGUGCAGAGAUUGAAAAAUAACCUUGAGAGAGUCCAUCCAUCUAACUCCAGUUUGGUGGGGCACAGUGGCUGAAUGCACGUAAUCCCAGCAUUUUGGGAGGCUGAGGCAGGUGGAUCACUUGAGGUCAGGAGUUCGAGACCAGCCUAGCCAACAUGGCAAAACCCCGUCUCUACUAAAAAUACAAAAAUUAGUCGGGCAUGAUGUUGCACGCCUGUAGUCCCAACUACUUGGAAGGCUGAGGUGGGAGGAUAGCUUGAGCCCAGGAGGCGGAGGUUAGAGUUAGCUGAGAUCGCGCCACUGUACUCCAGC